UACGUAGGGUGCAAGCGUUGUCCGGAAUUAUUGGGCGUAAAGAGCUCGUAGGCGGUCUGUCGCGUCUGCUGUGAAAACUCGGGGCUUAACCCCGGGCCUGCAGUGGGUACGGGCAGACUAGAGUGCGGUAGGGGAGACUGGAAUUCCUGGUGUAGCGGUGAAAUGCGCAGAUAUCAGGAGGAAAACCGGUGGCGAAGGCGGGUCUCUGGGCCGUAACUGACGCUGAGGAGCGAAAGCGUGGGGAGCGAACAGG
rnacentral:rRNA from 1 species